rnacentral:rRNA from 1 species
GGAUUCUUAAGUCAGCGGUAAAAUGUCCGGGCUCAACCCGGGCCGGCCGUUGAAACUGUCGGACUAGAGACGGCGAGAAGUACGCGGAAUGCGCGGUGUAGCGGUGAAAUGCAUAGAUAUCGCGCAGAACUCCGAUUGCGAAGGCAGCGUACCGGCGCCGGCCUGACGCUGAGGCACGAAAGCGUGGGUAUCGAACAG